UAAAAAAUUAAAUAUCAUACUCGUAUAUCCUCAGUAAUAUGGUCUGAGGGUCUCUACCAGGUUCCCACGGAAAGAACCGGACUACGAGUUAAAGUAUAAGAUUU
rfam:Virgibacillus massiliensis genome assembly, contig: 000001